GAAUAAAAUUCUGACUACUCACAUUAUAACCUCUUUUUUGGUUGGAUCAAUGGUUACAUAUUUGACGGCCUCUUCCUCGGUUUCCAUUUUUUCACAGGCAUCAACAAUUUUUUGAAACAUGGUUCUCUUCCUAAAAAAGAUACAGCUGUGCAACGAUUAUAGCAUAUAAGACCAGAGAUUUAAAAAAGUAUCUUUAAUAUGCGCUUCUCAGAGUUAAAGUUCCCACUUUGCAUCAGAUGUUUACAUAGUGGAUCUAAAGGGUCAGGGAAUAAGAGACUAAAUGGCUGCUAACCGUUGGCACAGAAAGGUUUUAAGACAGGAAAACCACCAGCCACAGAAAGGGAAAAAAUUGGUACGCACUUCAGAGAAACUCUCACGUGUACAAGGACAUACGAUGUGGUAUUGUCAACAAUAACGAAAAGUAGGAAAUGAUCUAAAUGUCCAUGAAUAGAAGAACGGCUAAAUUAAUUAUGGCAUGUUCAUAAAGCUGAAUAUACAGUUCAAAUGAAUGAACUGGAUCUUCAUUUACCACCAAGGUAAAUCUUUAAAACAUAUUGCAUGAAAAAGCAAGUUGCGGAAAAGUAUGUACAAGAUGAAACCAUUUAUGGAAAAUUUUAAAACGCACGUAACAAUACCAUAUGAAAACAUGGAUGGAAAGGACAGAUACACAGCAUCAGGACGAUGAUGACUGUGAGGGGAAAGGGAGGGGUUUUUCAUGGUAGAGUGGGUUCGGAUGCCUCGAUUGCAUUUUUUUUUUUCCUUAAAAAAAAAAAAAGACCUCAGGUGUGGCAAAAUCUUAGCAUUUGUUGAAUCUGGGUCAUGGAUAUUUGGAUAUCAAUUAUAUUCUUUCAAGUAUCUGUCUUCAUCUUUGAAGUAUUAAAUAGUUUUUUAAUUAAGAAGGAUCAGAGAGGCACAAUUUGAUACUACCCAUCUAAGUCAUUAAAUAGUUGGAUAUUAUAACUAGUUCACCUUGUCCUAAUCCAUUUUGCCAAGCAACUCUAUAGUUCACUGACAAAAUGGGCAGAAGCUCGGAGUAUCUGGUCUCCUUGGUCAUUUCUGUAGUGCUCUGCUGUACAUAACUCAGAAUUAUGUGAGUUUGGUUAACGUGCAUCCAUAUGAUCAAGGUUUUUUAGCUCCGACUCUCCAGCAGAAUCAAAUGUCUGAGCCUGCAACUCUAAAUACCAGACUCUGGACCAUGAUGACUCCACCAGACCAAAAUGCUGCUCAAAGGCUUUGCGGCAUCACCCUUCUGGCAGGUACACCAACUUCACCGUGCAUUCCUCAAACUUCUUCAAUAACAAACUAAUCAACAGCAGGGAUUAGUUUUUUUAAAUGUAUUUUCAGAUGUCUAGUAAACUCACUAUCAGUACCUUGAAGGUAUUCUACUGAUGUUCCAAAAGGAAAAUGAAUAACUGUGUGUGUGAAUAAAUGCCUUUUGACUUGAA